rnacentral:rRNA from 1 species
GAUGAACGCUGGCGGCGUGCCUAAUACAUGCAAGUCAAGCGAACAGACGAGGAGCUUGCUCCUCUGACGCUAGCGGCGGACGGGUGAGUAACACGUGGAUAACCUACCUAUAAGACUGGGAUAACUUCGGGAAACCGGAGCUAAUACCGGAUAAUAUAUUGAACCGCAUGGUUCAAUAGUGAAAGACGGUUUUGCUGUCACUUAUAGAUGGAUCCGCGCCGCAUUAGCUAGUUGGUAAGGUAACGGCUUACCAAGGCGACGAUGCGUAGCCGACCUGAGAGGGUGAUCGGCCACACUGGAACUGAGACACGGUCCAGACUCCUACGGGAGGCAGCAGUAGGGAAUCUUCCGCAAUGGGCGAAAGCCUGACGGAGCAACGCCGCGUGAGUGAUGAAGGUCUUCGGAUCGUAAAACUCUGUUAUUAGGGAAGAACAAAUGUGUAAGUAACUAUGCACGUCUUGACGGUACCUAAUCAGAAAGCCACGGCUAACUACGUG